AGAGUUUGAUCCUGGCUCAGGAUGAACGCUAGCUACAGGCUUAACACAUGCAAGUCGAGGGGAAACGACAUCGAAAGCUUGCUUUUGAUGGGCGUCGACCGGCGCACGGGUGAGUAACGCGUAUCCAACCUGCCCAUCACUUGGGGAUAACCUUGCGAAAGUAAGACUAAUACCCAAUGAUAUCUCUAGAAGACAUCUGAAGGAGAUUAAAGAUUUAUCGGUGAUGGAUGGGGAUGCGUCUGAUUAGCUUGUUGGCGGGGUAACGGCCCACCAAGGCGACGAUCAGUAGGGGUUCUGAGAGGAAGGUCCCCCACAUUGGAACUGAGACACGGUCCAAACUCCUACGGGAGGCAGCAGUGAGGAAUAUUGGUCAAUGGGCGAGAGCCUGAACCAGCCAAGUAGCGUGCAGGAUGACGGCCCUAUGGGUUGUAAACUGCUUUUAUAAGGGAAUAAAGUGAGUCUCGUGAGACUUUUUGCAUGUACCUUAUGAAUAAGGACCGGCUAAUUCCGUGCCAGCAGCCGCGGUAAUACGGAAGGUCCGGGCGUUAUCCGGAUUUAUUGGGUUUAAAGGGAGCGUAGGCCGGAGAUUAAGCGUGUUGUGAAAUGUAGAUGCUCAACGUCUGCACUGCAGCGCGAACUGGUUUCCUUGAGUACGCACAAAGUGGGCGGAAUUCGUGGUGUAGCGGUGAAAUGCUUAGAUAUCACGAAGAACUCCGAUUGCGAAGGCAGCUCACUGGAGCGCAACUGACGCUGAAGCUCGAAAGUGCGGGUAUCGAACAGGAUUAGAUACCCUGGUAGUCCGCACGGUAAACGAUGGAUGCCCGCUGUUGGUCUGAAUAGGUCAGCGGCCAAGAGAAAGCAUUAAGCAUCCCACCUGGGGAGUACGCCGGCAACGGUGAAACUCAAAGGAAUUGACGGGGGCCCGCACAAGCGGAGGAACAUGUGGUUUAAUUCGAUGAUACGCGAGGAACCUUACCCGGGCUUGAAUUGCAGAGGAAGGAUUUGGA
rnacentral:rRNA from 1 species